rnacentral:rRNA from 1 species
AUUGAACGCUGGCGGCAGGCCUAACACAUGCAAGUCGAGCGGCAGCGGAAAGUAGCUUGCUACUUUGCCGGCGAGCGGCGGACGGGUGAGUAAUGUCUGGGAAACUGUCUGAUGGAGGGGGAUAACUACUGGAAACGGUAGCUAAUACCGCAUAACGUCGCAAGACCACAGAGGGGGACCUACGGGCCUCUUGCCAUCAGAUGUGCCCAGAUGGAUUAGCUAGUAGGUGGGGUAAUGGCUCACCUAGGCGACGAUCCCUAGCUGGCCUGAGAGGAUGACCAGCCACACUGGAACUGAGACACGGUCCAGACUCCUACGGGAGGCAGCAGUGGGGAAUAUUGCACAAUGGGCGCAAGCCUGAUGCAGCCAUGCCGCGUGUAUGAAGAAGGCCUUCGGGUUGUAAAGUACUUUCAGCGGGGAGGAAGGUGUUGAGGUUAAUAACCUCAGCAAUUGACGUUACCCGCAGAAAAAGCACCGGCUAACUCCGUGCCAGCAGCCGCCGUAA